rnacentral:rRNA from 1 species
GGGGGGGGGGGGGGGGGGGGCGGGGGGAUGGAAGGCGGGCGGGGAGGCGGGGAGGUGGCUCCGCGGACGUGAGCGGCGGACGGGUGAGUAACACGUGGAUAACCUACCUAUAAGACUGGGAUAACUUCGGGAAACCGGAGCUAAUACCGGAGAAUAUAUUGAACCGCAUGGUUCAAUAGUGAAAGACGGUUUUGCUGUCACUUAUAGAUGGAUCCGCGCCGCAUUAGCUAGUUGGUAAGGUAACGGCUUACCAAGGCGACGAUGCGUAGCCGACCUGAGAGGGUGAUCGGCCACACUGGAACUGAGACACGGUCCAGACUCCUACGGGAGGCAGCAGUAGGGAAUCUUCCGCAAUGGGCGAAAGCCUGACGGAGCAACGCCGCGUGAGUGAUGAAGGUCUUCGGAUCGUAAAACUCUGUUAUUAGGGAAGAACAAAUGUGAAAGUAACUAUGCACGUCUUGACGGUACCUAAUCAGAAAGCCACGGCUAACUACGUG